rnacentral:rRNA from 1 species
CAAUAGCGUAUAUUAAAGUUGUUGCGGUUAAAAAGCUCGUAGUUGGAUUUCUGCUGAGAACGACCGGUCCGCCCUUUGGGUGUGUAUCUGGCUCUUUCUUGGCAUCUUCUUGGUGAACGUUGCUGCACUUGACUGUGUGGAGCGCUACCCAGGACUUUUACUUUGAGGAAAUUAGAGUGUUUCAAGCAGGCAUACGCCUUGAAUACAUUAGCAUGGAAUAAUAAGAUAGGACCUCGGUUCUAUUUUGUUGGUUUCUAGAGCUGAGGUAAUGAUUAAUAGGGAUAGUUGGGGGCAUUCGUAUUUAACUGUCAGAGGUGAAAUUUUUGGAUUUGUUAAAGACGGACUACUGCGAAAGCAUUUGCCAAGGAUGUUUUCAUUGA